AUUGAACGCUGGCGGAAUGCUUUACACAUGCAAGUCGAACGGCAGCACGGACUUCGGUCUGGUGGCGAGUGGCGAACGGGUGAGUAAUGUAUCGGAACGUGCCCAGUCGUGGGGGAUAGCGUAGCGAAAGUUACGCUAAUACCGCAUACGAUCUACGGAUGAAAGCGGGGGACCGUAAGGCCUCGCGCGAUUGGAGCGGCCGAUGUCAGAUUAGGUAGUUGGUGAGGUAAAGGCUCACCAAGCCGACGAUCUGUAGCUGGUCUGAGAGGACGACCAGCCACACUGGGACUGAGACACGGCCCAGACUCCUACGGGAGGCAGCAGUGGGGAAUUUUGGACAAUGGGCGCAAGCCUGAUCCAGCCAUUCCGCGUGCAGGACGAAGGCCUUCGGGUUGUAAGCUGCUUUUGUACGGAACGAAAAGGCUCUGGUUAAUACCUGGGGCUCAUGACGGUACCGUAAGAAUAAGCACCGGCUAACUACGUGCCAGCCGCCGCCGUAA
rnacentral:rRNA from 1 species